rnacentral:rRNA from 1 species
AUGUAUAUGCCUACAACAUAGCGUUAAUGCACCAGAUCCAAUUAAAACUCUGUAGUUAAGUGUGCUCGGGCUAGAGUAGUACUGGGAUGGGUGACCACUCAGGAAGUCCUAGUAUUUUACAUG